rnacentral:rRNA from 1 species
CAGCCGCCGCGGUAAAACCAGCACCUCAAGUGGUCAGGAUGAUUAUUGGGCCUAAAGCAUCCGUAGCUCGUUUUGUAAGUUUUCGGUUAAAUCCAUGCGCUUAACGUAUGGGCUGCCGGGAAUACUGCAUAACUAGGAAGUGGGAGAGGUAGACGGUACUCGGUAGGAAGGGGUAAAAUCCUUUGAUCUAUUGAUGACCACCUGUGGCGAAGGCGGUCUACCAGAACACGUUCGACGGUGAGGGAUGAAAGCUGGGGGAGCAAACCGGAUUAGAUACCCGGGUAGUCCCAGCUGUAAACUAUGCAAACUCAGUGAUGCAUUGGCUUAUGGCCAAUGCAGUGCUGCAGGGAAGCCGUUAAGUUUGCCGCCUGGGAAGUACGUACGCAAGUAUGAAACUUAAAGGAAUUGGCGGGGGGAGCACCA